GACAGCCUUGGGAGAGCGACCCAUGAGCUGGCAGAACCCUGUCUCCUGCGUGAGCGAUCGCGGGAGACAUCGUUCUGUGGAACAGAACCCGAAGAGACUUGGUGGGUUUGCAGCGAAGCUCUGUGUCAGGCCGAACUUGUACAUACAGUCACCGCAUCGCUCGGGAAGAGCAAGCUCUUCCCGCGGUUUCUGUGGUCCUU
rnacentral:sRNA from 10 species